GUGAGGAAUUUUCCGCAAUGUGCGAAAGCCUGACGGAGCAAUGCCGCGUGAAGGAUGAAGGCCUAUGGGUUGUAAACUUCUUUUCUCAGAAAAGAAUUAUGACGGUAUCUGAGGAAUAAGCAUCGGCUAACUCUGUGCCAGCAGCCGCGGUAAGACAGAGGAUGCAAGCGUUAUCCGGAAUGAUUGGGCGUAAAGCGUCUGUAGGUUGUUUAAAAAGUAUUCUGUCAAAGAUUAGGGCUUAACCCUAGAUAGGCAGAAUAAACUUUUAAGCUAGAGUUUGGUAGAGGCAGAGGGAAUUCCCGGUGGAGCGGUGAAAUGCGUAGAUAUCGGGAGGAACACCAAAGGCGAAGGCACUCUGCUGGGCCAAUACUAACACUGAGAGACGAAAGCGAGGGGAGCAAAUGGGAUUAGAUACCCCGGUAGUCC
rnacentral:rRNA from 1 species